AAAGUUGAGAUUAAUUACUAGUCUUAUAUUCAAUAAUGAUAUUAAAUUGCAAAUUUAAAGGAGCAAUAAUGCUAAGACUU
rnacentral:tRNA from 1 species